UGACCUUCGCAACCUGCAAGUUAUUCAAUAACGAAUUGUGAUUUAGAUGGUAAUUUUGUUCUUCGAAGAGCUUGGUUACCUUUGAUUAGGCUGUUCUCACCUGACAGAACACUAGCACUGAUGAUCACCCAGUCAUAAAGAAAUUUCGAAAUACGGAACAAAACGGAUUAGAUUUUUUUCUAAAUAACUCGGGACCAGGUCAACCUAUUAGUCUAUUUCUAACGUCGAUGGAGGAGUAUUGAACACAGCGACAUCUACUGUACAGAUCUGAUGCUCAGUCAAAGCCACUACAGCUUGACGGAGGUUUCAGCUUGCUUGAAUUGCAAGGAAAAGCCUUCCGGACCACCAGGAUUAGCUGUCCGGUCCUGUAGCUGCUCGAAUAGUUCAUCAUCAUCUGGUUGCAGUGAGUUGUCGAUACCAGGAGCCUGCAAGCUCUUACAUAACAUGAAUGCAGGUGUAUGAAAGGGUGCGGACUGAGGUCACAGGGUUACUAUGGUGCAACACCUGAGCUAUCAUACAUCGUCACGACAACAGAGGAGGGUCCUUCCUGCACAGGUUACUCAAAAACAACUCCAUCCACCCCUGAAAAGAGCUUGUUCACCAACACACAGAACUUCACUUCUCAGCUCUCAACGAGGUGCUCUGCAGCAGUAAUGCCCAGUAAACUGGAGGGAGCCAUGGAUGCGCUCAUCACCGUCUUUCACCAACUACUCAGGGAGCGAGGGAGACAAAUACAAACUCAGUAAAGGAGAGCUGAAGGACCUUCUCAACAGUGAACUCACCGACUUCCUCACGGUUAGCCAUCAGAACA